rnacentral:rRNA from 1 species
UACGGAAGGCAGCAGUGGGGAAUAUUGCACAAUGGGCGCAAGCCUGAUGCAGCCAUGCCGCGUGUAUGAAGAAGGCCUUCGGGUUGUAAAGUACUUUCAGCGGGGAGGAAGGCGAUGCGGUUAAUAACCGCGUCGAUUGACGUUACCCGCAGAAGAAGCACCGGCUAACUCCGUGCCAGCAGCCGCGGUAAUACGGAGGGUGCAAGCGUUAAUCGGAAUUACUGGGCGUAAAGCGCACGCAGGCGGUCUGUUAAGUCAGAUGUGAAAUCCCCGGGCUUAACCUGGGAACUGCAUUUUGAAACUGGCAGGCUUGAGUCUUGUAGAGGGGGUAGAAUUCCAGGUGUAGCGGUGAAAUGCGUAGAGAUCUGGAGGAAUACCGGUGGCGAACGGCGGGCCCCUGGGACAAAGACUGACGCUCAGGUGCGAAAGCGUGGGGAGCAAACGAGGAUUAGAUACC